AGUGCACCUCUGCCUGCAUUUGUCAGUUAAAGUUAAACACAGACAUGGCUAAUAUGUGAACAAGCAUUCACAUACAUACAAUGUGAGAAUGGAGAAACAAGGAGAUUACAGCCUGUACUAUGGUGCCAAAUGGAGCCUGAGAGAAAUGAGAACAUAAAACACAUGCACACAGGAAGGAGAGGGGUGGUGGUUUAAAGGACUCCUUCAAAAACUACUUGUUGAGGCAAAGCUAGUUGAAGAGCUGAAGAAGGAAUACCUGAGGCUUUUGCUGCUGACGGAGAGCAGCAAAGAGUUGCUCGACGAUUUACAGACAGAUUUGGAGUGUUGUGGACUUCAGGGCUACCAGGACUGGAAAUCCAACAUCCCAAAAUCCUGCCUUUGCGCCAAAGAGUCCACUAAUUCGUGUGUGGAAACUCUUGGAGGCAGCUGGGAGGAAAAUCAGACUGUUAUGAUUUAUGAACAGGUAUUAAAGACAUUCUCAUCAUUUUUCCAGGAACUUGUGUAAACUCUAUAAGCUGUUAUGGCAAAAGCAGGCAACUACACCACCCUCACAGAGCCUCCAGACGACUUCCGAUGUCUUUGCUAGUUCUGAUGCUUCCAGCAGUGAUGGCCAUUAUUUAAACAUGCUAAAUAAUAAAUAUAUUUAUGACAAUUGCUUAUAUUGAAUAUAUCCUACAUAUCCUACAAGUGCAUUAUGGACUAUUUUAUUAUGACUUUGUGAAUUUCAACUCAGUUGAUUGAGAUUAUGGAUCUGAGAUAUCAACACGGAGUGAAAACGCACGAUUUAAAUGUAAUAUAACUAAACAUCUAAACAUGUAUCUAAAACAAACUGAAUAUUAUGUGUGAAUUGUUUUAAUACUUUCUGAUUUCGUAGCUUUUAAUUUUUCUACACUGUGUAA